rnacentral:rRNA from 1 species
AAGUCAGUGACCCAACCGCAAGGAGGGAGCUGCCGAAGGCGGGAUUGAUAACUGGGGUGAAGUCGUAACAAGGUAGCCGUAUCGGAAGGUGCGGCUGGAUCACCUCCUUCUAAGGAA